UGUGUUUACCAAGAAAUACGAGACACACAUUGAUGUGUAAAACACUUUAUUUAUAUUUCAUAACGUACAGAAAGUAGAGUGGGGUGGGGCACAUCUGACAGCAUCCCCAUACUAGUCCUGUUUGUUUAAAUCACGACCAGGGCACAUCUUACUGACAUCAUCCCCAUACUAGUCCUGUUUGUUUAAAUCACGACCAGGGCACAUCUUACUGACAGCAUCCCCAUACUAGUCCUGUUUGUUUAAAUCACGACCAGGGCACAUCUUACUGACAGCAUCCCCAUACUAGUCCUGUUUGUUUAAAUCACGACCAGGGCACAUCUUACUGACAGCAUCCCUAAACUAGUCCUGUUUGUUUAAAUCACGACCAGGACACCUCUUACUGACAGCAUCCCUAAACUAGUCCUGUUUGUUUAAAUCACGACCAGGGCACAUCUUACUGACAUCAUCCCUAAACUAGUCCUGCUCGUUUAAAUCACGACCAGGACACAUCUUACUGACAUCAUCCCUAAACUAGUCCAGCUCGUUUAAAUCACGACCAGGGCACAUCUUACUGACAGCAUCCCUAAACUAGUCCUGCUCGUUCAAAUCACGACCAGGACACAUCUUACUGACAUCAUCCCUAAACUAGUCCAGCUCGUUUAAAUCACGACAAGGGCACAUCUUACUGACAGCAUCCCUAAACUAGUCCUGGUACCCAGGCUGUAGUCUCACCACUAGUGGGUUAAAACAAUCUAGAUCAAAUAUCCUAUGUUCCUAUUUGCCCCCCAGACUUCACUGAAUACUUCUCUUUGGCAACAAUAAAACAUAAAUACAUGUACUUUUAACUCACUUCCAGGUAAUUUCUUGAUAUUCUUAAAUGUAAUUUUUCUUUUUUGAGAUACAAAAAUAGUCCAUACAGACAGCGCUCUAGAUGGGUCUAUGGAUGCUAAACUAUUACAGAAUAGUAAAUCCCUAGAAAGGCUAACAAACACUAAACAGAACACACUUACUGCAUGGAGACCAGAGUCGAUCUUUAAAACAUAGAAAUAGAAUCUAUGUCAUUCCAUAUCUAUGUUUUGAACUAAAUUGACAACCUGGUUCUUUGAGGCUAAAGACUAGUGAUAUUAGCCUGGUCCCAGAUCAGUUUGUACUGUCUUGCCUACCUACAGUAUGGUCAUUGGAGUAGGCAAGAGGGUACAAACAGACCUGAGACCAUAAUACAGUGAUUGGCUUAUCAGGCUGGUAUAGCAGGCUGAUUGGACUGUAUGAGUUCUUUGUUACAACCACAUCCAUCCCUUUUCAUUUCUAUAGCAAACACAUUUUCACAUACACAGCAGAGUCAAAAAGUCCAUGAAUUCAAAAUGUAUUUUCCAUUCUUAAAAUCGUGAAAAUACAAUACACUGACUAAUCCAUGUGACAUCACCGACCCCAUUGACCACAAAGCUGAUCACAAUACGUUAAGACCAAACCAGUUCUCAGUUCUGUAGUCUUCCAACAGUUAUUUGAUUAUUUCAUCUUCAACAUGUUACCGAAGCCACUUGAAAAUCAUUUGUUUGUUCUUCCAUUCUUUAAGUUCCAUUUUAAAGUUUCAUAUUUCUUAAAAUUGAAUAUUUCAUCAAAGGUUUCCUAUAUAUAUAUAUAUAUAUAUAUAUAUAUAUAUAUAUAUAUAUAUAUAUAUAUAUAUAUAUAUAUUUUAAAAAAUGAUAUGCUACUGUAUCUAUGGUAUUAGUAAGCUUGUUGUACUUGUACUGCAGUUCCAUUUUCAGAAUCAGAAUCAAAAAGGUACAAGAUCUUUGAUCGUAUCACAAAGGAUGUUCACCUCAAGAGUAGUAGACAUAUUACACAGUAUGUGGUGCAGUGAAGCUCAACUCUGAGGGUAAGGACAGGUAGCUACCCUCAUCUGGGGAGAAGACCGAAACCAUCAUAAGUUGUGUUUAUCCACCACUAUCUGCAUGCAUAGCACAUGAAUUUCAAGUCCUAAAAAAGGGAGUACAGCAUUUAUUCAAAGUCUUCAAUGAUAUUCCCUCAAAACUGACUUGGUGGAUUCACACAAGUUUAGUUUAGGUCCAGGGAUGUCUGUAAAAGAAACUAAACAGAGAAGGACAUAGCUGAAUAUGUCCGAUAUUAACUCUCAUUGGCGUUGCAAAGCGUUCUGCAACUGUUUGUCAGUGUGCACGAAUGAUAACGCCCCAGGCCUUCAGUGGGAGGGGAAUAGUGACCCAUACUGACAGAUGGAGGGGAAUAGUGACCCAUACUAACAGAUGGAGGGGAACAGUGACCCAUACUG
ensembl:lncRNA